GGCAUGGUGGCCGAGUGGUUAAAGCGCUUAUAAUUAUUUACUCGGUGCCGAAGGACGAUGGAUCGAUUCCAUCCUGAGACA